AUUGAACGCUGGCGGCAGGCCUAACACAUGCAAGUCGAGCGGAUGAAGGGAGCUUGCUCCUGGAUUCAGCGGCGGACGGGUGAGUAAUGCCUAGGAAUCUGCCUGGUCGUGGGGGAUAACGUCCGUAAACGGGCGCUAAUCCCGCAUACGUCCUGAGGGAGAAAGGGGGGGAUCUUCGGACCUCACGCUAUCAGCUGAGCCUAGGUCGGAUUAGCUAGUUGGUGGGGUAAAGGCCUACCAAGGCGACGAUCCGUAACUGGUCUGAGAGGAUGAUCAGUCACACUGGAACUGAGACACGGUCCAGACUCCUACGGGAGGCAGCAGUGGGGAAUAUUGGACAAUGGGCGAAAGCCUGAUCCAGCCAUGCCGCGUGUGUGAAGAAGGUCUUCGGAUUGUAAAGCACUUUAAGUUGGGAGGAAGGGCAGUAAGUUAAUACCUGGCUGUUUUGACGUUACCAACAGAAUAAGCACCGGCUAACUUCGUG
rnacentral:rRNA from 1 species